rnacentral:rRNA from 1 species
GACGAACGCUGGCGGCGUGCUUAACACAUGCAAGUCGAACGGACAGGCCCUGCUUUUGUGGGGUGCUCGAGUGGCGAACAGGUGAGUAACACGUGAGUAACCUUCCCUUAACUUUGGGAUAACUUCAGGGAAAUGCGGCUCAUACCCGAUAGGAGCUCCUGCUGCAUGGUGGGCGUUGGAAAGUUUCGGCGGUUGUGGAUGGACUCGAGGCUUAUCAGCUUGUUUGUGGGGUAGUGGUUUACCAAGGCUUUGACGGGUAGCCGGCAUGAGAGGGUUAACGGGGACAAUAGGACUGAGAUACGGCGCAGACGGGAACGUUAGGCAGUAGGGGGGAGCAUGGCAGAACGGGCCGGAGCCAGAGAUAGCAAUGUUGGGAUCGUGAUGAUGUGUUAUGGGGUGUAAACAGAUGUGGCCGGUGAUGAAGCGGGAGUGACGGUAAUGGGUAAAGAAGCAACGGCUAACUACGUG